UGAACCAUGGUCGGAAGUUCAAAAAAGAUGGAAGAAAGUAGCGAGGCAAAGACAUCGAGAUAUUCAAAAUAAUUCCUUAAAUAUCUUCUCAGAGUGGCCACUCUUCAAACAUUCUCUUGGACAUACACUUGUUGAAAUUGACUAUGAAAUUUUGAAACCCAACAAUCGAUCGCAACUAUUUCAGCUCUGGCCUUCAUUUACUGCAAGGAUUGUUCCACUUUUACAACAAAAACUAAAGGAUAAAGCAUCGUUGGCAUUUUUAAAGAAUUUUGAAAAUAUUGAUGCAAAUUCUCGUGAUUUUUUUAUUCUCUCUUCAAUCCAUGUCCUUUUAAAACCACCAAUAAUAUCUGUUGGAAAAAAUGAAUCAAAGAAAUCAAAAUGGAAACCAUCAAUUAAGGAUGCCCAGGACUCCUGUUUUUUAUAUUGCUCUUCGAUUCUUGAUUAUACGGUAAAAGUAGAAAAUUUACGCCAAA